GCACAAGCAGCGGAGCGUGUGGUUUAAUUCGAUGAUACACGAAGAACCUUACCAGGGUUUGACAUGCUAGUGGUAGGGAUCCGAAAGGUGACCGACCCUCGGGGAGCUAGCACAGGUGCUGCAUGGCUGUCGUCAGCUCGUGUCGUGAGAUGUUCGGUUAAGUCCGCUAACGAGCGCAACCCUUGCUGUGUGUUACAUGUGUCACACGGGACUGCCGGUCUUAAACCGGAGGAAGGUGGGGAUGACGUCAAGUCAGCAUGGCCUUUAUGUCCUGGGCUACACACACGCUACAAUGGCCGGUACAAUAGGUUGCGAAGCCGCGAGGCGGAGCCAAUCCUCAAAGCCGGCCUCAGUUCAGAUUGCAGGCUGCAACCCGCCUGCAUGAAGAUGGAGUUGCUAGUAACCGCAGGUCAGCUAUACUGCGGUGAAUACGUUCCCGGGGCUU
rnacentral:rRNA from 1 species